GUUCAGUAUACUUGUAGAUUCGCUUGUUUUAUUUACUAAUUAAUAUUUUCAUUAUCUUUAAAAAUGUUCAUUACUUCUUAUUCUUUAGAGACUUUUUGCAUUUUCUGGCUUUCUGCAAUGGUGCCGCUUAUGAUUUUGGAAUAGUUCAAUACGUCCUUCCAUAUUUUAUGUGUUUAAUAAAAAUAGAAUUUUCGAUGCACAACGAGAGCGGAAAUUAUUGGAAGUAUCGAUGGUCUGGCAAUUGCUAAGAAUUUGUGAAUGUGGAUGGAAAAUUUCAAUAGUCUUCGAUUGAGUCAAAUUUUAGAUGAGUAUUAUUCUAAUCGAGGAAUUUCAUUUAAUAGAAAUAUAAAAGCCAGCGAGA